CCUACGGGCGACAGCAGUGGGGAAUAUUGCACAAUGGGGGAAACCCUGAUGCAGCGACGCCGCGUGAGUGAAGAAGUAUUUCGGUACGUAAAGCUCUAUCAGCAGGGAAGAAAAUGACGGUACCUGACUAAGAAGCCCCGGCUAACUACGUGCCAGCAGCCGCGGUAAUACGUAGGGGGCAAGCGUUAUCCGGAUUUACUGGGUGUAAAGGGAGCGUAGACGGCAGCGCAAGUCUGGAGUGAAAUCCCAUGGCUUAACCAUGGAACUGCUUUGGAAACUGGGCAGCUAGAGUGCAGGAGAGGUAUGCGGAAUUCCUAGUGUAGCGGUGAAAUGCGUAGAUAUUAGGAGGAACACCAGUGGCGAAGGCGGCUUACUGGACUGUAACUGACGUUGAGGCUCGAAAGCGUGGGGAGCAAACAGGAUUAGAUACCCUUGUAGUC
rnacentral:rRNA from 1 species